UACGAAGGGGGCUAGCGUUGUUCGGAAUUACUGGGCGUAAAGCGCGCGCAGGCGGCUCUUCAGGUCAGGGGUGAAAGCCCAGAGCUCAACUCUGGAACUGCCAUUGAAACUGUGAGACUUGAGUAUGAGAGAGGUGAGUGGAAUUCCCAGUGUAGAGGUGAAAUUCGAUAGAUAUUGGGAAGAACACCGGUGGCGAAGGCGGCUCACUGGCUCAUUACUGACGCUCGAGGCGCGACAGCGUGGGGAUCAAACAGG
rnacentral:rRNA from 1 species